rnacentral:lncRNA from 1 species
AUGCUCAGCGCCACCAACACCGCGAGCGCUCAGCAUCCCUGCAGCCCCGCGGGAUUCACCUCGGUGCCUUCCCCAGGCACGGGUCGCACCCCAAACAGCCGGUCAGGGACAAGAAACCCCUCCUGCCCCUAUUUCCCCCCACGGAGCCUCUUCCCCUUUUUGCUUUCAGCGCAGCCCAGGGGCUUUCCACUUGCCCAUCUCUCUGCCACCCGGCCCCACGCUGGUGCGGGAUGCUCCGUGCCGUGGGGUGAUGCUCCGAGCCAUCGGGCGAUGCUCCAAGCCAUGGGGGAUGCUCCGAGCCAUCAGACGGUGCCCCACACCUCGGGCAAUGCCCCGUGCCCUGCUCCUGGUCCUUCUCGGUCCCUGCCCCCCUGGUCCUGCUGCCCCCCCCGAUCUGUGCCCUCCGCACCCCCUCCCGCAGCCAACUUCGGCGCUCUCCUUCCCGCCGACGCUGCCGCCGGAGGGACAGAUGGUGCCCUCGGAGACACCUGCUUGGGUUCUGUCUUGGCUCCCAACUUGCAUUAUUUCACCCGCCAGCCUGGUACUGCUCCCAGGGAGCUCGGGGUUAGGAAGCGAGUUGUUCCAGAAGAAAGAUGCUGCGUUGGCACCACCGCUGCAAAAUCCCAGCCAGUCAGCGUCGCCUGGUACCGCCCCAAUGGUCUACAAACCCCACAGGGACUCAGGUGUCCUGUCAGUCCCGUUGGUGCCAGAUGCACCAUGGAGGGAGGUGGCAGUCCCAAGGACUGGGGUAGCACUGGCUGGGUGCCCAUGGUCCCUGCCCACCUCCUCGGGCACGGCACCCCAGGGUGCUGGGGCUUGGGGACAGGGACAGGGGACUUGGUCCCCACGGAGGAGGCUGAUAUGGGAUCAGCCUGGGUGACCCCAUCCUCUGCUUUCACCCCUAAAAUGGAUGGCGAUUGGGAUGGGGAUGGGGAUGGGACUGGGGAUGGGAUUGGGGAUGGGAUUGGAGAUGAGGAUGGGGAUGGGGAUGGGAUGGGGAUGGGGAUGGGGAUGGGUUUCCUGGCCCUCUGCACCCCUGCUCCUGGAGUGCUGUGCUUGUGCGUGGUCCGUGGCCACCUGCCGACGGCUUCUCCCGCUCCCCUGCCCUCCCACAUCGCCUCUCCUCCUCCUCCCCGUGCGCUGGGUGCAAUGAGAAAUGUACUUGGCUCCCGAUCCUAG